UACGAAGGGGGCUAGCGUUGUUCGGAAUUACUGGGCGUAAAGGGCGCGUAGGCGGCCUGCUAAGUCGAACGUGAAAUCCCCGAGCUCAACUCGGGAACUGCGUCCGAUACUGGCAGGCUUGAAUCCGGGAGAGGGAUGCGGAAUUCCAGGUGUAGCGGUGAAAUGCGUAGAUAUCUGGAGGAACACCGGUGGCGAAGGCGGCAUCCUGGACCGGCAUUGACGCUGAGGCGCGAAAGCCAGGGGAGCAAACGGG
rnacentral:rRNA from 1 species